UUUGUUUAUUUGUUUAAGAACUUUGUAGGACCGCGAAAUCCUGAUUUGCAAUAAAUCAAAGAUCUUUAUAAAAUGAUUAGGAAAGACGGUUUUCGACAACGAGUGAAGGCGAGAUUUGAUCUCUUUCCGUAAUCCAAACUAGCUCCCGCAAUGU
rnacentral:sRNA from 1 species